CAGGAAGUGGUUACUGCUGCACGUUUCCCGGCUCGCCAUGCCAUAGGGUGUCCUCUACUGAACCUGGGGGCUUGGGAAGCCCCGGAUCAGCGGUCAAGCGCCGGGUCGGCGUGCCUGAGGACGGUCAGUCUCGUAAGAGGAAAGUGGUCACCACUGAAACUCGUGUCGCCCCCGGAAUUACUUAGGUAACGCUUGGGGGGGGGUAAGAAUAAGGGGGGGAUGGGGAAGCCCCUCCGGAGUGAC
rnacentral:lncRNA from 1 species